AAAUACGGAGCACAGUCCUUUACCAGUGAGUCGUAUUGAGUCUACAGACGACAAUCUGGCGUAGAUGUUACCUGCGACAGUUUUUAUGUCAAAAGAAUAGAAAUCUUGUAGGAACAGCCGUGACAUUGAGCCAACAUACACAGAGCAGAACCCUCACUGCCCAUUGGCCCUCCUGCCAUUUCGUCACCAAUAAGACCCCGCCUACAUUCAGCUUGUUCCACCAGUAAGGUACAGAGACGUUCAGAGUUAUUGACGCCAAGAUAGUCCUGUCCUGUGGCAGAAGACAAGAGCGACUGACCAACUGGAUGAUUCUGCUGCCGCCAACACACUGAGCCAACAGCAUCAACACUGAGCAGCUACAGCUACUGACUGUCUUCACAUGAUCCUGGAGACACAUCUGGAUUGUGAGGACCAGAUGAUCUGCUGCAUCCUGAUGCUCAGCAGCCUGGUCUCCUCUGUCUGGG